GAUGAACGCUGGCGGCGUGCUUAACACAUGCAAGUCGAACGGGCUUUUUUAUGACAGAGGCUUCGGCCAACGAAGUUUAAAAGCCAGUGGCGGACGGGUGAGUAACGCGUGGAGAACCUGCCCUGUACAGGGGGAUAACAUCAGGAAACUGGUGCUAAAACCGCAUAAGCGCACAGAGCCGCAUGGCUCAGUGUGAAAAACUGAGGUGGUACAGGAUGGCUCCGCGUUGGAUUAGCCAGUUGGCGGGGUAACGGCCCACCAAAGCGACGAUCCAUAGCCGGCCUGAGAGGGUGAACGGCCACAUUGGGACUGAGACACGGCCCAGACUCC
rnacentral:rRNA from 1 species